CCUACGGCUGGCAGCAGUGGGGAAUAUUGGGCAAUGGGCGCAAGCCUGACCCAGCAACGCCGCGUGAAGGAAGAAGGCUCUCGGGUUGUAAACCUCUUUUCUCAGGGACGAAGCAAGUGACGGUACCUGAGGAAUAAGCCACGGCUAACGACGUGCCAGCAGCCGCGGUAAUACGUAGGCGGCAAGCGUUAUCCGGAUUUACUGGGUGUAAAGGGCGUGUAGGCGGGAAAGUAAGUCAGAUGUGAAAACCAUGGGCUCAACCUGUGGACUGCAUUUGAAACUGGUUGUCUUGAGUACUGGAGAGGCAGGCGGAAUUCGUAGUGUAGCGGUGAAAUGCGUAGAUAUUAGGAGGAACACCGAUGGCGAAGGCAGUCUGCUGGACAGCAACUGACGCUGAGGCGCGAAAGCGUGGGGAGCAAACAGGAUUAGAUACCCCGGUAGUC
rnacentral:rRNA from 1 species